UACGUAGGGUGCAAGCGUUGUCCGGAAUUAUUGGGCGUAAAGAGCUCGUAGGCGGUUUGUUGCGUCGGCUGUGAAAUCCCGAGGCUCAACCUCGGGUCUGCAGUCGAUACGAGCAAACUAGAGUGUUGCAGGGGAGACUGGAAUUCCUGGUGUAGCGGUGAAAUGCGCAGAGAUCAGGCAGAACACCUGGGGCGAAGGCGGCCAGCUGGGCCGUCCCUGACGCUGAGGCGCGAAGGCGUGGGGAGCGAACGGG
rnacentral:rRNA from 1 species